UACGGGGGGGGCAAGCGUUGUUCGGAAUUAUUGGGCGUAAAGGGUUCGUAGGUGGCCGGCUAAGUCAGACGUGAAAUCCCUCAGCUUAACUGGGGAACUGCGUCUGAAACUGAUCGGCUUGAGUGCAGGAGAGGAACGCGGAAUUCCAGGUGUAGCGGUGAAAUGCGUAGAUAUCUGGAGGAACACCGGUGGCGAAGGCGGCAUCCUGGACCGGUAUUGACGCUGAGGCGCGAAAGCCAGGGGAGCAAACGGG
rnacentral:rRNA from 1 species